rnacentral:lncRNA from 1 species
GAGAGUGCACCAAUUGUGUGAUGGUUUCCAAACCUUGAAGGGAGGUCAACACUUUCUCCUCAAAGGCUGUGUUUCUAUGGGGUGGAGGAGGAGUGUGUUGAAAUUAAAUCGAAGGAUGGUAGGGAUUAACAUUCUGGAAUGGUUGAAAGUUUUGGGAAUAAGGCUGGGAGGUAUUGGAAGUCUGCUGCUUCCAAGAGAAAUUUGGAUUGUUGCGCCACCCCGAGUUAUAAGUGUUAGAAUACGGAUCAUUACCCGGUCGGGACUGUGCUUGGGCAGCAUUUACUUGUUCUUGCACAAAUUCAGGGAAUUGUGCUGCCGAAGGGCACUCAAAAACAGUAUGAGACGGACUAGAACAGAGAGCACACACUUGUGCUUGGGGAAAGUUUGGGAGCUAUUCUCUAGACAUUAGCUGGUCCAAUUUGCGGGAUAGUGCAUCUACUUUCUCGGAUAGACCUAUGGACUGGCUAACUUCAUAUAUGGUUCCUUUUCUUUGAGAACUCGGGGGUGCUUGACGAGCGGAGGAGGCAUGGUGGAGAGAAUUUUCAUUAAGGUUCUCAAACAAUUGCCAUGCCUCAUGUUCACUUUUAAGCAUGAAAGUACCCCCACAAGAAGCAUCAACCAUUUGACGAUUUCGUUCGGAUAGUCCGUCAUAAAAGCAUUGCACUAAUUUCCACUUGGGUAUUUGAUGAUGCGGGCAUUUUCGGAGUAAAUCUCUAAAUUUUUUCCAAGUUUCAUGAA